rnacentral:rRNA from 1 species
GCUCAGAACUUAAAUGAUUGACGGAGCCGCACAAGCGGUGGAGUAUGUGGUUUAAUUCGAUGCAACGCGAAGAACCUUACCUGGUCUUGACAUCCCGGAGACCCUUAGGAAACUAGGGGUGCUUCCAUCUGGAAGAAUCUGGAGGACAGGUGCUGCAUGGCUGUCGUCAGCUCGUGUCGUGAGAUGUUGGGUUAAGUCCCGCAACGAGCGCAACCCUUGCCUUUAGUUGCCAGCAGUUCGGCUGGGCACUCUAAAGGGACUGCCGGUGUUAAACCGGAGGAAGGUGGGGAUGACGUCAAGUCCUCAUGGCCUUUAUGACCAGGGCUACACACGUACUACAAUGGCCGAUACAAAGGGCAGCGACACUGCGAGGUGAAGCCAAUCCCGUAAAAUCGGUCUCAGUCCGGAUUGGAGUCUGCAACUCGACUCCAUGAAGUUGGAAUCGCUAGUAAUCGUGGAUCAGCAUGCCACGGUGAAUACGUUCCCGGGCCUU